UACGAAGGGGGCUAGCGUUGUUCGGAAUCACUGGGCGUAAAGCGCACGUAGGCGGAUCUUUAAGUCAGAGGUGAAAUCCCAAGGCUCAACCUUGGAACUGCCUUUGAUACUGGGGAUCUUGAGUCCGGGAGAGGUGAGUGGAACUGCGAGUGUAGAGGUGAAAUUCGUAGAUAUUCGCAAGAACACCAGUGGCGAAGGCGGCUCACUGGCCCGAUACUGACGCUGAGGUGCGAAAGCGUGGGGAGCAAACAGG
rnacentral:rRNA from 1 species